rnacentral:rRNA from 1 species
AACGAACGCUGGCGGCAGGCCUAACACAUGCAAGUCGAACGCCGUAGCAAUACGGAGUGGCAGACGGGUGAGUAACACGUGGGAACGUACCCUUCGGUUCGGGAUAACUCAGGGAAACUUGAGCUAAUACCGGAUAAGCCCUUACGGGGAAAGAUUUAUCGCCGAAAGAUCGGCCCGCGUCUGAUUAGCUAGUUGGUGAGGUAACGGCUCACCAAGGCAACGAUCAGUAGCUGGUCUGAGAGGAUGAUCAGCCACAUUGGGACUGAGACACGGCCCAAACUCCUACGGGAGGCAGCAGUGGGGAAUAUGGACAAUGGGCGCAAGCCUGAUCCAGCCAUGCCGCGUGAGUGAUGAAGGCCCUAGGGUUGUAAAGCUCUUUUGUGCGGGAAGAUAAUGACGGUACCGCAAGAAUAAGCCCCGGCUAAC